rnacentral:rRNA from 1 species
ACAGCGUGGAGUAUGUGUUUAAUUCGAUGCAACGCGAAGAACCUUACCUGGUCUUGACAUCCCGGAGACCCUUAGGAACUAGGGGUGCUUCCAUCUGGAAGAAUCUGGAGACAGGUGCUGCAUGGCUGUCGUCAGCUCGUGUCGUGAGAUGUUGGGUUUAAGUCCCGCAACGAGCGCAACCCUUGCCUUUUAGUUUGCCAGCAGUUCGGCUGGGCACUCUAAAGGGACUGCCGGUGUUAAACCGGAGGAAGGUGGGGAUGACGUCAAGUCCUCAUGGCCUUUAUGACCAGGGCUACACACGUACUACAAUGGCCGAUACAAAGGGCAGCGACACUGCGAGGUGAAGCCAAUCCCGUAAAAUCGGUCUCAGUCCGGAUUGGAGUCUGCAACUCGACUCCAUGAAGUUGGAAUCGCUAGUAAUCGUGGAUCAGCAUGCCACGGUGAAUACGUUCCCGGGCCUU